AUUGAACGCUGGCGGAAUGCUUUACACAUGCAAGUCGAACGGCAGCACGGGGCAACCUGGUGGCGAGUGGCGAACGGGUGAGGUAAUACAUCGGAACGUGCCCAAUCGUGGGGGAUAACGUAGCGAAAGUUACGCUAAUACCGCAUACGAUCUACGGAUGAAAGCGGGGGAUCGCAAGACCUCGCGCGAAUGGAGCGGCCGAUGUCAGAUUAGGUAGUUGGUGGGGUAAAGGCUCACCAAGCCGACGAUCUGUAGCUGGUCUGAGAGGACGACCAGCCACACUGGGACUGAGACACGGCCCAGACUCCUACGGGAGGCAGCAGUGGGGAAUUUUGGACAAUGGGCGCAAGCCUGAUCCAGCCAUUCCGCGUGCA
rnacentral:rRNA from 1 species